rnacentral:rRNA from 1 species
UCCGUAGGGUGCAAGCGUUAAUCGGAAUUACUGGGCGUAAAGGGUGCGCAGGCGGCCGAGCAAGUCGAGUGUGAAAGCCCCGAGCUUAACUUGGGAACUGCGCUCGAAACUACUUGGCUAGAGUGUGGCAGAGGGAGGUGGAAUUCCACGUGUAGCGGUGAAAUGCGUAGAGAUGUGGAGGAACACCGAUGGCGAAGGCAGCCUCCUGGGCCAACACUGACGCUCAUGCACGAAAGCGUGGGGAGCAAACAGG